UACAGAGACUGCAAGCGUUGUCCGGAAUUAUUGGGCGUAAAGAGCUCGUAGGCGGUCUGUCACGUCUGCCGUGAAAACCCGAGGCUUAACCUCGUGGCUUGCGGUGGAUACGGGCAGACUAGAGGUAGGUAGGGGAGAACGGAAUUCCCGGUGUAGCGGUGAAAUGCGCAGAUAUCGGGAGGAACACCGGUGGCGAAGGCGGUUCUCUGGGCCUUACCUGACGCUGAGGAGCGAAAGCAUGAGGAGCGAACAGG
rnacentral:rRNA from 1 species